ensembl:lncRNA
GAAGAGCGAGGAGGACGUUUGCAGUAUUGCUCCUAUCAGCCCAGGGGAGCUCACAAGACUCACCCAGUGGAAAUUGCUGCUGUCUGCCUGUCAGAGGACAUGCCCCAAAGUGGCAAGAUCAUUUGGAUGCUCCUCUGCCCCAAGCUGCUGCAGUUGAGAGCUUCCUAGCUGGUGUUGUCUUGCCUUUCGCCUUGCCCUGUUUGCAUGAACAGCAUCUCUAACUGAAGAAGAUAUUGGACAAAAGAACAUCAAGACCCCCAGCAACAAUUAAAAAAAAUCAUUAAGCUACAAUAGCCCAGUCAUCACUGGGUAAUUAUUAAGCUGUAAGAAUUGCUAAUUGUCUUAUUAGUAUUGAACAAUUAUGCAAAUAAUGGA